rnacentral:lncRNA from 10 species
GGAGGCUUAGGGGCUCUGGCAGCCCCAGCCGCCCCAGCCUCACGCUGUCUGAUCCGCCAAACCUCAGCAACCUGGAGGAGUUCCCUCCCGUAGGCUCGGUUCCCCCCGGCCCUACAGGCAGGACGAAGCCUUCUCGCAGGAUCAACCCAACUCCGGUGAGCGAAGAGCGGUCACUCUCCAAGCCCAAGACCUGCUUCACCUCACCCCCAAUCAGC